GGAUUAGGCAUGCAAGUCGAACGGGAUCCGGGAGGUAGCAAUACCGGCCGGUGAGAGUGGCGGAAGGGCGAGGAGCACGUGGACAACCUGUCCCGUGGGUGGGGAUACCGUCCCGAAAGGGGCGUUAAUACCGAAUGGGGCCCCGGACCGCAUGGUCCGGCGGCCAAAGGCGGGGAUCCGCAAGGACCUGUCGCUUAAGGAUGAGCCCAUGUCCUAUCAGCUAGUUGGUGAGGUAACGGCCCACCAAGGCUUACGGGUAGCUGGUCUGAGAGGAUGGUCAGCCACACUGGGACUGAGACACUGCCCAGACUCCUACGGGAGGCUGCAGUCGAGGAUCUUGGACAAUGUGCGCAAGCCUGACAGAGCGACGCCGCGUGAGGGAGGAAGGCCUUCGGGUUGUAAACCGCUGUCAGAGGGGAUGAAAUCUUCGGAGGUACUCCUCCGAAGUUGACAGAGCCUCAAAGGAAGCACGGGCUAAGUACGUGCCAGCAGCCGCGGUAAUA
rnacentral:rRNA from 1 species